AUAAUACUCCAUAGAUUAGAGACACUGGAAUGUUCUUUAGUCGAAAGUUCUGGCGCCUUAGGAUGGAUCUGCGGUCGAUUAGGUUGUUGUUAGGGUAACGGCCCAACAAGCCUGUAAUCGAUACGGGUUGUGGGAGCAAGAGCCCGGAGAUGGAAUCUGAGACACGAUUCCAGGCCCUACGGGGCGCAGCAGGCGCGAAAACUUUACAAUGCAGGAAACUGUGAUAAGGGAACUCCGAGUGCCCGUAUACGCGGGCUGUCCAGGUGUUUAAAAAUCAUCUGAAGAAAGGGCCGGGCAAGACCGGUGCCAGCCGCCGCGGUAAUACCGGCGGCUCGAGUGGUGGCCACUAUUAUUGGGCUUAAAGCGUCCGUAGCUGGACCGAUAAGUCUCUUGGGAAAUCCGCCGGCUCAACCGGCGGGCGUCUAAGGGAUACUGUUAGUCUAGGGACCGGGAGAGGUGAGAGGUACUCCGGGGGUAGGAGUGAAAUCCUGUAAUCCCCGGGGGACCACCGAUGGCGAAGGCAUCUCACCAGAACGGCUCCGACAGUGAGGGACGAAAGCUGGGGGAGCGAACCGGAUUAGAUACCCGGGUAGUCCCAGCCGUAAACUAUGCGCGUUAGGUGU
rnacentral:rRNA from 1 species